GACGAACGCUGGCGGCGUGCUUAACACAUGCAAGUCGAACGGAAAGGCCCUGCUUUUGUGGGGUGCUCGAGUGGCGAACGGGUGAGUAACACGUGAGUAACCUGCCCUUGACUUUGGGAUAACUUCAGGAAACUGGGGCUAAUACCGGAUAGGAGCUCCUGCUGCAUGGUGGGGGUUGGAAAGUUUCGGCGGUUGGGGAUGGACUCGCGGCUUAUCAGCUUGUUGGUGGGGUAGUGGCUUACCAAGGCUUUGACGGGUAGCCGGCCUGAGAGGGUGACCGGCCACAUUGGGACUGAGAUACGGCCCAGACUCCUACGGGAGGCAGCAGUGGGGAAUAUUGCACAAUGGGCGGAAGCCUGAUGCAGCAACGCCGCGUGCGGGAUGCCGGCUUUCGGGUGGUAAACCGCUUUCGCCUGUGACGAAGCGGGAGUGACGGUAAUGGGUAAAGAAGCACCGGCUAACUACGUG
rnacentral:rRNA from 1 species